AAUUCAUGGUGUGAACAUUUCUGAAUCAACAUUUUGAAACGUUCCAACGCCUCAUGAAAGCUUUCUCCUUUCAUCUGUCUAAAGACAACAAUCUCUCUUCUUAGUU
rfam:Gossypium arboreum cultivar AKA8401 contig_32460_5, whole genome shotgun sequence.